GACGAACGCUGGCGGCGUGCUUAACACAUGCAAGUCGAACGGAAAGGCCCUGCUUUUGUGGGGUGCUCGAGUGGCGAACGGGUGAGUAACACGUGAGUAACCUGCCCUUGACUUUGGGAUAACUUCAGGAAACUGGGGCUAAUACCGGAUAUGAGCUCCUGCUGCAUGGUGGGGGUUGGAAAGUUUCGGCGGUUGGGGAUGGACUCGCGGCUUAUCAGCUUGUUGGUGGGGUAGUGGCUUACCAAGGCUUUGACGGGUAGCCGGCCUGAGAGGGUGACCGGCCACAUUGGGACGGAGAUACGGCCCAGACUCCUACGGGAGGCAGCAGUGGGGAAUAUUGCACAAUGGGCGGAAGCCUGAUGCAGCAACGCCGCGUGCGGGAUGACGGCCUUCGGGUUGUAAACCGCUUUCGCCUGUGACGAAGCGUGAGUGACGGUAAUGGGUAAAGAAGCACCGGCUAACUACGUG
rnacentral:rRNA from 1 species